rnacentral:tRNA from 1 species
CGGGAUAGCUCAGCUGUAGAGCAGAGACUGA